UACGGGGGGAGCAAGCGUUGUUCGGAUUUACUGGGCGUAAAGGGCGCGUAGGCGGCCAGCACAAGUCAGUUGUGAAAUCUCCGAGCUUAACUCGGAAAGGUCAACUGAUACUGUGCGGCUAGAGUGCGGAAGGGGCAACUGGAAUUCUUGGUGUAGCGGUGAAAUGCGUAGAUAUCGGGAGGAAUACCAGUGGCGAAGGCGGCUGCCUGGCCUGUUCUUGACGCUG
rnacentral:rRNA from 1 species